rnacentral:RNase_P_RNA from 1 species
UGAGCUGGCUGGGCGGCCGCGGCACCGGCGGUGUCGAGGAAAGUCCGGACUUCACAGAGCAGGGUGAUUGCUAACGGCAAUCCGAGGUGACUCGCGGGAAAGUGCCACAGAAAACAGACCGCCACCCCAGUGCCUCCGGGCGCCGGGGCGGUAAGGGUGAAAAGGUGCGGUAAGAGCGCACCGCACGACUGGUAACAGUUCGUGGCUAGGCAAACCCCACUCGGAGCAAGACCAAAUAGGGUUCCAUAUGGCGCGGCCCGCGUUGGAACCGGGUAGGUUGCUAAAGACGUCCAGUGAUGGCCGUCGUAGAGGAAUGACUGUCCUCGACAGAACCCGGCUUAUAGAUCGACUCUCCAC